ensembl:lincRNA
UCCGAAAGACAGGAAGAGUUAAUACCUCUGCCCUUGCCCAGACCCCCAGAAGAUUCCGUGAUGCCCGGUAGUUGCUAGCAAGGGUCUUGGCUCUGGAUGCCUUUGGCUCAGGGUAAAGGAGUUAGCACAUAGGAAAAGAUCCAGCCGAGUGGCUUCUGGAUUCGGGGUUGACCUGGCAGGAUUCCCAGGACUGUGCUAGACCCCAUCAACACCGCCCAUUACCGCAGUUUUCCAUCCUUUUUUCCCCUCCCCUUUCCCUCCGGCUCCCCAAUGCUCCCCCCUUCCCAGACCGGCCCCACUCUCUGAGCCGCCUCCUCUCUCAGUCAUUUCCCCUUCUCCGACCCAAAGACCUUGGCUCUCCCUUCCCUCUGGCUGGAAGGAGAAGAAGGGCAAACUGGCUUUGGGAACUAGGCACAUCUAGUUGUGCCAUCUUCAGCCAAAGCCCACCAGAUCCAUCCUGUAAAGACACACGCCUGAAGUAAGUGGGCCUUUAGUUUGAAUUCUUUGCUGUGUUCUGAGAGAUAAGCCUUAGUCCACUGUGAACUCUCACUUGGAUUGCUGGCUUGGUCUCCAGGCUUUCUCUCUUGGCCUGCUUCCCUCCUGUUCUUUCUCCUUGUUGCACUCAGAGUUAUCAUUCCCUCUGAACAACAACGGAACCUACUGCUUGGGAGCACAAACUUUGGUGUCAGACAGAUCUCCUUCAGAUCCCAACUCCAAUCUGCUCCCGUCACUUUUUGUGUGACCUUUGACAAGUUACUAAUGCUUCACUUCUUUAAGAAUCUUUUUCCUUAUCUGUAAAAGGAGAUAAUUGUGGUCUCUACCUCACACUGAUGUUUUGAGAAGUUCCAAAAGUAAUGUAUGUAGAGUGGCCCUUAGUAACUCAGUAGCUUGGGAAAUGGCAGAUUAAAGUGGAUUAGAGCAGUAAGGCUGCUAAGAAGAGUGUUUAAAGUGAGGUACCAUGGCAUCUAGACUGGAUAGGGAGUUAAGCAAUGAGGUGGUAAUGAGCUGAAGAACAGGAGAAAUCAAAGGAUGGGAGAUCUUGAUGAGAAUGAGGACUAAAUAUUUUGAGAACCAAGAAGUAACAGGGGUAAGGGGUUGUAGCUAGAGAUUGGGUUAGUGGAGUUCAGGAAUUCUGAAGUUGGGCAGCUCCAUGUUUUUUAGGUGGUCUAAGGCAGUAAUGGCUAGAAAUGGCAAGUGAAGUGGCAUGUGGUCAGAGGUUGCAGAAGUAGAGGAGAUCGAUGGACAGUGAGGCCAGGGUGUUGGGUGAGUCAUCUAUAGUCACUGAAGUUGCUUAUCUGAUGACAUACUUUGGAAUGGAGAGGAAAAUGGAACUAAUGCCAAGCUAAAGUCCACCUUGAUUAACAGGGAGGAGUCACUUAUUUCACAAAUAUUUACUGAGCUCUUACUAAAUGUUAAGAUACAACAAGACAGACAAGAGUCCUGCUCUCAUGAAGCUUCAGUCUAGUAGUGAUAACUGACAUUAAAAAUCUCAUCUAUAAAUAGAAAACUGCAAAUUAAGAUAAGAGCUGAGAAGGAAAAAUAAGGGUUCUAUAAGUAAUUAUAAUAGGAGGACCUGACUCUGACUUGAAUGUCAGAGAAGGUGCUCCUGAGGAAGUGAUGAGAACUAAAGGAUCAGCCGAAGUAGAAGGAGGUAGAGGAGGGAUGAAUGGAGGAAGUGUUCCACGUAGAAGAAACAACAUGUGCAGAGACCUGAAACUAGAACAUGUACAAGGGACUUGAAGUACUGAACGGUGUCUCCUGUGAUUAGAGCAUAUUAAUCAAGGGGUAGAGUAUUGGGAACUGAGGCUGGAUGACAGGCUCCCUUAAUUAUUUUGAACUUUAUCUUAGGAACCGUGGGAAUACUCCUACUUAAAGGGUUUUGCAAUGGCAACCCACUCCAGUACUCUUGCCUGGAAAAUCCCAUGGACAGAGGAGCCUGGUAGGCUGCAGU